rnacentral:rRNA from 1 species
GACGAACGCUGGCGGCGUGCUUAACACAUGCAAGUCGAACGGAAAGGCCCUGCUUUUGUGGGGUGCUCGAGUGGCGAACGGGUGAGUAACACGUGAGUAACCUGCCCUUGACUUUGGGAUAACUUCAGGAAACUGGGGCUAAUACCGGAUAGGAGCUCCUGCUGCAUGGGGGGGGUUGGAAAGUUUCGGCGGUUGGGGAUGGACUCGCGGCUUAUCAGCUUGUUGGUGGGGUAGUGGCUUACCAAGGCUUUGACGGGUAGCCGGCCUGAGAGGGUGACCGGCCACAUUGGGACUGAGGUACGGCCCAGACUCCUACGGGAGGCAGCAGUGGGGAAUAUUGCACAAUGGGCGGAAGCCUGAUGCAGCAACGCCGCGUGCGGGAUGACGGCCUUCGGGGUGUAAACCGCUUUCGCCUGUGACGAAGCGUGAGUGACGGUAAUGGGUAAAGAAGCACCGGCUAACUACGUG